UCAGCAGCGCGAUCUGUAUUCCAAAUCCGUUUAAGAAUGGCGGCAAACGACCUGGACGUUCGGCAAUCUUCACCAAUACUGAUGAGUACUGGUGUGCGGCGUAUCCCCCAAGCGCCCCGCCAGGCAAGGUACCGUGGACCGCGUACCUUGAUUUACUCCUAAUGGUCUUAACCCGGUCUCAUCCCCCAGAGGCCGG
rfam:Pseudomonadales bacterium RIFCSPHIGHO2_02_FTLL_60_43 rifcsphigho2_02_scaffold_107873, whole genome shotgun sequence.